rnacentral:rRNA from 1 species
GACGAACGCUGGCGGCGUGCCUAAUACAUGCAAGUCGAACGCUGAAGGAGGAGCUUGCUUCUCUGGAUGAGUUGCGAACGGGUGAGUAACGCGUAGGUAACCUGCCUGGUAGCGGGGGAUAACUAUUUGAAACGAUAGCUAAUACCGCAUAAUAGUAGAUGUCGCAUGACAUUUGCUUAAAAGGUUCAAUUGCAUCACUACCAGAUGGACCUGCGUUGUAUUAGCUAGUUGUUGAGGUAAGGGCGCACCAAGGCAUCGAUACGUAGCCGACCUGAGAGGGUGAGCGGCCGCACUGGGAGUGGGACACGGCCCAGAAUCCUAGGGGAGGCAGAAGUAGGGAAUCUUGGGGAAUGGAAGGAAGUCUGACCGAGCAACGCCGCGUGAGAGAAGAAGGUAUUCGGAUCGUAAAGCUCUGUAGUAAGAGAAGAACGAGUGUGAGAGUGGAAAGUUAAGAGUGUGACGGUAACUUACCAGAAAGGGACGGCUAACUACGUG